UGUAGCUACAAUAAAAAUGGUUGAAAUGUCAAUCCAAAGAAGUAUCGAGCAGGGGUGAAGCUAGCUUGAAGGGUAAGAGCAUGAUUAUCGCAAGCUCCUAAGUAGGCUUUUAAGGUAAUUAAUAAUUAAAAACAAAAGAAAAAUAGGUAUUAACCUAAGAGACGUAUCCUAAUCAAGGAUCGGAAGAAACGUUUCUUAUCCUUCCAUCUCCUCUCCUCUCUCUCCAAUCCACCUUUGUAACUGAGAUCCACAGAGAGCUGUCCGGAUGCUGAAACAGAGCACAAGGAAGGUGAGACUUUGGAGUCAGAUGAGAUCAGUGAGGAAGUGUAUCUUCCGUUGAAAGAAUCAAUAGGACAUACUGAAGUUGAAGUGAUAGCAGGAGCUUUGUUCGGUAAGAGGUCCAAAUCGAUCUACUCAAAGAGUCUGUGUAUCUGGGAGAGGAGGAGAGAGAUGCAAGUACUUGCGCGGAAUCUAGCUCAAAGAGUCUCAAGAAGCCAGGAAGAACUGGUGCGUUGCUUAGAAAGGGACGGCUUCAAGUCGAUUCAAGACGCAAUUGGUGCAGAUCACAGAUGAUGAUCAAACACGAACAAGAACAAACUACAGAGGGGAGAGUCCUUUACUUACAACAAAAACAAAAGAGAUGUAUUUAAAAGUUUCACUGAUUCAGUUGUUUUUUUCUGCCUAAACAAUAACAUGAUGGCUUUUGUCCUCUUUACUCUU